rnacentral:lncRNA from 1 species
AUACUGCAUUUAUGAAACACUUUAACAUCUUGUCCUUUUUACAAAUACUUUUUCUAAGUGUUUUAAUUUUUAUUUUCUAUUUUCCACUAAUUAGACUUACCUACUGUGGAAGAAUUGAUGAAACCAAUUAAAGGAAAUUCAUACAAUAUCAGAGGGGUCGAUGUGGAGCCCGAAAGUCCUGUGAAACUGGUAGGCAGCACAGCAAAUGACCUUAUCAGCCACUUGCCCUUUAAAGAGCACCAGAAUAGUAAGAUUUGGGAGACAAACUUACUUGAAAAAUUUAACAGAGAAGAGAGCAUCUUUCUGCAGCCAGCUGUGAAUGAUGAUAACUUCCAGAGGAUAACUGAGAAAGAAAUUCAAACCAGUGAAGUACAGCCUGAUGUGCCAAGCGAAAAAAUAGUACAAGACUCUCCACUUUCACAAGACGGCAAAGCUAAACAAGCUCUUCAGUCUUGUUCCUUGAAGAAUGACAGAUCAGAAUCAAUGACAACUAAGAAUAUCAGAAGUCCAGCACCUGUACAUAAAAAGAAAUCUUCGUAUGGUCCUCACGGGGUGGUUAGAAGCUCUGGGUAUGGGAAACCCACUUCACUCUCAAAACAAUCUUUUCCAGCUAAUGAAAAGAGAGCACUAAAAGAAACUUUCAAAAAGACCAGUGUGAAAGCCAAAAGUCCUACAGAUAGAGCAAGAUCUAAAGAUGCCUUAUCUGCUACAAGGAUAAUAAGACCUGCAACAAAUGAACCAGCUUCGAAGGGAAGCACUAAUAGGGUUAUGUCUGGCCAAUCAGUCGUUAAUAAUCUCGGACACCAGGCUGUGGAUUAUUGCAGGCAGUAUCAACAUGUAAGUAAUAAUCAGUGAUGUUCCUAAUUAUACUAUAUACAGCUUGCUUUGCAAGCCUGUUUUGUCAAGACUUUUAAUAAUU